rnacentral:rRNA from 1 species
GAUGAACGCNGGCGGCGUGCCUGACACAUGCAAGUCGAACGGAGUCCAGCCUUUAAGACCUUCGGGUCAAAGAGGGGAAGACUGAGUGGCGGACGGGUGGGUAACACGUGGGCAACCUGGCUCAUAGAGGGGGAUAACAGAGAGAAAUUUCUGCUAAUACCGCAUAAGCACACACUGCCGCAUGGCAGAGUGAGAAAAGAGAAUCGCUAUGAGAUGGACCCGCGUCUGAUUAGCCAGUUGGCAGGGUAAGAGCCUACCAAAGCGACGAUCAGUAGCCGAUCUGAGAGGAUGAACGGCCACAUUGGGACUGAGACACGGCCCAAACUCCUACGGGAGGCAGCAGUGGGGGAUAUUGCACAAUGGGGGGAACCCUGAUGCAGCGACGCCGCGUGAGUGAAGAAGUAUUUCGGUAUGUAAAGCUCUAUCAGCAGGGAAGAUAA